rnacentral:rRNA from 1 species
UCAGUAACACGUAGUCAACAUGCCCAGUGGGACGUGGAUAACCUCGGGAAAUUGAGGAUAAACCGCGAUAGGUCACUACUUCUGGAAUGGGUAAUGACCCAAACCUAUAUGGCCCCUGGAUUGGACUGCGGCCGAUCAGGCUGUUGGUGAGGUAAUGGCCCACCAAACCUGUAAAACCGUGUACGGGCUCUGAGAGGAGGAGCCCGGAGAUGGGCACUGAUGACAAGGGCCCAGGCCCUAUGGGGCGCAGAGGCGCGAAACCUCUGCAAUAGGCGAAAGCUUGACAGGGUUACUCUGAGUGAUUUCCGUUAAGGAGAUCUUUUGGCACCUCUAAAUAAUGGUGCAGAAUAAGAGG